GAAAGAUCCUGGCUCAGAUUGAACGCUGGCGGCAGGCCUAACACAUGCAAGUCGAGCGGAAACGAGUUAUCUGAACCUUCGGGGAACGAUAACGGCGUCGAGCGGCGGACGGGUGAGUAAUGCCUAGGAAAUUGCCCUGAUGUGGGGGAUAACCAUUGGAAACGAUGGCUAAUACCGCAUGAUGCCUACGGGCCAAAGAGGGGGACCUUGGGGCCUCUCGCGUCAGGAUAUGCCUAGGUGGGAUUAGCUAGUUGGUGAGGUAAGGGCUCACCAAGGCGACGAUCCCUAGCUGGUCUGAGAGGAUGAUCAGCCACACUGGAACUGAGACACGGUCCAGACUCCUACGAGGCAGCAGUGGGGUUUAUUGCACAAUGGGCGCAAGCCUGAUGCAGCCAUGCCGCGUGUGUGAAGAAGGCCUUCGGGU
rnacentral:rRNA from 1 species